CACAAGCGGUGGAGCAUGUGGUUUAAUUCGACGCAACGCGAAGAACCUUACCAGGGCUUGACAUCCCCUGACCGCGUAUGAAAGUACGUUUUCACCCUCGGGUGACAGGGAGACAGGUGGUGCAUGGUUGUCGUCAGCUCGUGUCGUGAGAUGUUGGGUUAAGUCCCGCAACGAGCGCAACCCCUACGUUUAGUUGCUAACGCGUGAAGGCGAGCACUCUAGACGAACUGCCGUUGACAAAACGGAGGAAGGUGGGGAUGACGUCAAAUCAUCAUGCCCCUUAUGUUCUGGGCUACACACGUGCUACAAUGGCCGGUACAGACGGACGCGAAGCCGCGAGGCGGAGCAAAUCCGAAAAAGCCGGUCUCAGUCCGGAUUGGAGUCUGCAACUCGACUCCAUGAAGUUGGAAUCGCUAGUAAUCGCGGAUCAGCACGCCGCGGUGAAUACGUUCCCGGGCCUU
rnacentral:rRNA from 1 species